GUGCUCACUUUGGCAGCACAUAUGCUACAACUGGAACGAUACAGAGAUUAGCAUGGACCCUGUGCAAGGAUGACACGCAAAUUCAUGAAGCAUUCCAUAUAUAU
ensembl:snRNA U6 U6 spliceosomal RNA